rnacentral:lncRNA from 1 species
ACAGUAUUUCAUUACUUGGGCCAUGCCGAAACAACUCUACUUAUUGGUCUAAAGGCAAUGGGGUGAAGCAGUGGAAGAUCUUGAGGAAGAGUUCGACAUGGAGGAAAUCAAGAUUGCAUUCCUUUCUGUGGAGGCUCUGGAGAAGAGUCAGCUUUCUCAUUCAGACAGGGUCUCCACUCUGUUGCUCAGGCUGGAGUACAGUGGCAACAACCACGGCUCACUGCAUCCUCCGCCUCUCAGAUUCAAGCCAUCCUCCCACCUCAGCCUCAUGAGCAGCUGGGAAUACAGGCACAAGCCACUACACCCAGUUAAUUUUUGUAUUUCUUUUUUUUUUUUUUUUUUUUUUUGUAGAGAUGGGUUUCACCAUGUUGCCCAGGUUGGCUCUCCCUCACUUUAAUGUGCUUCUUGAAUUUUGCCAAGGAAUACAAACAAUGAAAUUACAAUAAAAAUGAUUCUUAACUGUUUACUGAAAACAAGGAAUCUGACAUGAUACGCUAUUCUAAUGUACAAAUAUAUUCAAAAAUAUAUUUUACUUUUACAAAGGUUUAAUAUUGCAGUGUCUUUGUGUUAGGGAGAAAUUAAUGUGUAAUCUUUCUCUAGCAAGUAAAAAAUUGUAUCAUAACUGUAAUGACCCAUUUGUUUGCAUGUCUGUUCUAAGGGCUUAGACAAAACUAACAAUGAACGUAAUUAUUCCCAUUUUUUAAAAAAAAUCAUUAAACAGUUUAUUUUCUGUAGGUUUAAAGUAAAAAUAAAAAGGAAGGAAUUCUGAUGGGCAUCAGAAAUCAGAUGGCUCCAAUAAAAAGAUUCAUGUCACAGGAAUCCACUUUUCAGUAAUCCCAAAUGUGUAUGUUAAUUAGUACAGUAUAAAAAAUAAGAUAAUUUUAUAAAACACAGGGCAGGCUCUUACGCUAACUAAAGGAAAACAAAUAGUGUUCAAACAUCAUGGAAGGCACAGUGAUAAGAAAUUUAAGAAUCAAAAGGCUCAUGAGCAGUACUUAAUCCUAAUAUUAUUGAAAAUGAUUAUUAAAUCAGAUUAGGUGGCAUGAGCAGUGUAAUUUUGGUUUACUAGGUUUUGAGUUCAGAAAAUCUGGUCAGGUAACAUUUUGGAAUGUUUGUCAUGUCUUCUUGUCUCUUUGGAUUGUCUGUUGUUUGCUUUCCUGUAUCCCCUUGGACCCAAUUACGAAUGGGCUUUUGCCUCAAUGUUGAUCUUAUCCUUGUUAAUUAAGGCAGUGAAUUGAAUUCAGUAUGCCCUUUUGGAUAAAAAUAAUGACUAAGAAUCAUUACUGAAAAUGCCUAUAUUCUGUUAAGAUCUUUGGGAUCUUUCUACCCAGGUUAAGUCCUUUGUGAACACAGAGCCCUCUAACUCUUGGAAAGUAAGUUUGAACUUUAAAAAUUUGCCAUGUAUAUUUCUUCUUAAAUUCUGAAGCAUUUAAGCUUAAUUGACACUUUUAGGUCAGCAUUUUGUAUUAAAUUUCUUCUUCAAAUAAUUGUCAUCUGUGUUGCAUAGACAAUCAGGACAAAAAUCGG